GGGAUCUUAGCUCAGCUGGGAGAGCAUCUGCCUUACAAGCAGAGGGUCAUAGGUUCGAGCCCUAUAGGUCCCACUA
rnacentral:tRNA from 1 species